CUCCUUAAAUUAAAACACCUGUGCAUUGUGGAACAGAAGCCUGAGGAGCAGGAGGAAGAAGUUCAGCCUUCAUUCUCAACUAAGACCUCCAGUUUCUCCUCAACAAGUCCCAAUAAGUAAUAACGCCAUUAUGUGGCCCCUCGUCACCCUAUACCCACAAUAAGCUGUAGGCCUGCUGGUGAAACACUCUUUUCUACUGUCAGUCGAAUAACAACUGGCAUCAGUGCAUCAUAUCAGACUGGAACUCUCUGUCGCUGCAGCUCUCCUUUGAAAGAGACUAUAAUGAAGUCAUUUCAGUGUUCAACACCAACCAAGCCCCGUCGUCUCCUGCUGCAAUCUUCAAAAAAUGUUUCAUCUACAGCCGCUCAGCUGUUACCUUGAGACUGUUGCAACACACAAAGUGCCACAAAAUCCUGGAUUUCAACACCCAGCCAGCAUGGGACUGUUGUGCUGAAGGCUUUGUAUGUCUGGUAAUGGCGAAAAAGUAUCUUAUGUUUGAUCCCCCCCUCCGGCUCAGUGUUCAUAUGUUCGGCGUGAUCUUGUUUUUAAUAAAAUAGACAUCGAGAGCAGAAAAAAAAAAAAAAUAACCAAGAAAGGAGUCGAUAAUGAGAGAUAGGGGCAACGCUUCUUGUUUACACUCGACUCGACAUCAGAAGAUUUCUCAUUCAAUGUUGAGGAGUGAUGAUGCAAUGCGCUUGCACUUCCGAGAUUAACGAUUUAAGUUGUAUUGGCCUACUUAGCGUAUACUUGGUUUAAUGAUUUGUGGCAUAAUACAAGCUUCAGCAUUUGAGAGGAAAAAAAACACUUGUUGGUUUGAUGCUUUGUGGAUUUGAGAACAAACUCUUUAACACGUCUGCUGUAAUGUGAUGCGACUGUUCCAAGUUCAAUAUAUAAACACUGCAGCUUUCCACGGCAUACAUUAUAAAUUGGCCUGCUCUGCUGCAAAGUGUUUUAACAGAUUGUUAUUAUGUUGUGUUCACGCUGCCUAGUAUUCCUGCCAAGACUAUGGCAGGCAGCAUCAUCUGAAAAAAAAUCUAUUUAUACAUUAAGUAUAUAUGCUAAAUAUGGCAUGUGGUGCUUUAUUUUAUGGGACUUCUGUGUAAGGCUGGGUAAUAAUUCAAUAGGAUAACUUAUUGUCUUUCAAUGGAAUCAUAAAGUGAAGAAAUCAUAUAUUGAGAUAUCGUGAUACUCAAUUACGUCGUCUAAAUUGAUAAUAACAAGCACAACUCAACCAUCUCAAAUUUCUCAGAAAAUCUGAUCAAACUCAGUUAAAUCAAACUAUUGUCUUAAUCUAAUUACUCUGUAU